GAUAAAGAGCAAGGUUUCAAACUAGAAGAGGGGUGUAUAAGGUUAGAUGCUAGGAGGAAAUUCUUUAUUCAGUGUGAUGAGGCGCUGGCACAGGCUGCCCAGAGGAGCAGUGCAUGACCCAGCCCUGGAGGAGCUCAAGGACAAGACAGAUGGAGGCCUUCGGUUCUAUGGUUCCAAGGUUUUUUCUAUGAACUUUAAGGUCCCGUUCAAAUCAAACCGUUCUCUUUUAGGACUCUGUGAUAGACUGGGGGUGGUCAAGAGGUUGGGAGGAGACAGAGCAAGGAGGACAGCUGACCUAAAACGAGACCAAAGGGACACUGCAUGCAGAAUGAGGGCAUGAUCGGCAAGAGGAGAUGGGGCAAAGAGGGAGAAGGGAGAAGAAUCCUCCCCUCAAGAAACAGGAAACACGGACCAUGUUGAGAUGUCUGACGUCCCCAAAUAAAAGCAGUGGCUCUGCAGACGCAACAGAUGCACCAUGGGCUGCAUCACAGCCUUUCACUGUGGGUAACUCUCUGUCAGCUGUAGAAACACCACAGGACAGGUGCUAGGGUUGCAGCGCAAGCAAUCUGACCAUCUGUAUCCAGCUCACAUCAAAGCAGGUGUCAUGAGGAGAGAUCUCCAAAAGAUGUGGGGGCAAGCGGGAUGGUCCAUGCCAAGUCCUUCUGUUCCUGCCCUCCUGCUGCUGGUGGUCGGUGAGUUGGGGAUGCUGUGGGGAGAAAAGAACUCUCUGAAGAGGAGGAAAUCUCCCAGAAAUAGGCUUGGGAUGGUGCCAAUAGGUGGAAGUGAAGCCGGUGCAGAAUGGAGACAUGCUCCAAAAAUAUGAGAGAUGGGAAUGCUGUGUGCUUUAGAAAGAUAGGGGACUGUACUUGAAGCAGCAAACACAAUACAAAUGGACCCGAGCUGGCUCAGAGACACAGCAAAGAAGCAAUACGGAGACAUGCAGGUGGGAUGGUGCAUACAAUCACAUUGGGGACAUGGGCGGGGAACAUGUGGAUGAGCAGGACGUUGUCCCUCCAAACAAAACUCUCUCUGUCCCGCGGUGUAGGUACUGGUGUGAACACCUGGGACAUCUGUAGCUCCAGGACUGAUGGUACUCUCCAGGCUCCAGUCCUGGUCCUUAGCACUUCCAGAGCUCAGGAAGGAGAAGUCGUCCUGGCUCACUGUUUCCUUCGGAAGAUAAUACCUGCUACCCGGAUUGUCUUCUGCAAGGAUGGGAUGGAGCUGUACAACAUGAAAGCCCAAGAGGACGUGGUCAUCUACUCCAUGCUGCUGAACAUCUCUGCAAGAAGCAGUGGGACAUACACGUGUAGGUACCAGCAGAGGAACGAGAGCAAUUGGCUAAGGAGCUCUCCCCUUAGCACUCCCUUGGACCUACAUGUCGCAGGCCAUCUGUCCAUCUCCACAGCAGGUGGAGCACCCACAGUACCCUGCAUUCUGCCUUAUUCCACAGUCAUUGCGGUGACAUCACUAGCUUUCACCCUCCUGCUGUCUGCAGCCACCUUUUGGACCAUCAAGAAAGGUACCUGCAGAGAGGGAUGCCAAAGGCAGCAGCACAUUCCCAGCCAGCAGAUGGAAGCCACCAACUAUGGAGAAAUCCAGUAUGCCACCGUUGUCCACUUUCAAAGGGACAAGAAAAACAGCAAAUCAUGAGAUGCAUUUUCUAGCCGCAAAUCACACUCUCCUCUCUGACCUCUGCAAAUAUCUCCCCUUAUUGCUGCUACCAAAAUUGUGUGGUUUCUCCUCAGAAGCUCCAAAAAUUGUUCCAUCCGAAGAGCUGAACAUAUUUGAGUGUUUUAAAAAGAGUAUGGAGGGGGAAAACCUCACCAACAAUUAUGAAGAGGAAAGAGGCCAUCUAGCAAGCAAGUGCUCCCCCAUAUCUGCUCUUAUUUAUGCUAAUUGUCUCCUGCCUGCUUCUCUAGUGUUCAUGUAUCCUUCCAGGGCACUUGGAGCCUUCUCGUGCAGGGCUUGCAGGCUGUAGCUGUAGUAACAGGGCUUUCCUUUCCCCUCCAGCCUCCCGUGAAGCAGAUGACCAACAAGAGUCCAAUUGGCUGCAGCAUGCCAAGGGCACUGGGAUUGGGUCACAAACAAUGUGUUUUCUUGCAGAGGGCUCUUGGGGCAGAACAUGGGGCUUUUUGGGUUUAUGGGUUUUGCUCUCCUGUUACAUCUAGCCAAUAAGAUGUAUGACUUGCUUAUGUAUGGACCCCCUGAAAAAUCAAUAAAGUAUCAG
ensembl:lncRNA